GCCGCCUUAGCUCAGUCGGUAGAGCGGUUCACUCGUAAUGAACAGGUCGACAGUUCGAUUCUGUCAGGCGGCU
rnacentral:tRNA from 3 species